rnacentral:misc_RNA from 1 species
GAUGAAGAACGCAGUGAAAUGCGAUAAGUAGUGUGAAUUGCAGAAUUCAGUGAAUCAUCGAAUCUUUGAACGCACAUUGCGCCCCUUGGUAUUCCAUGGGGCAUGCCUGUUCGAGCGUCAUCUACACCCUCAAGCUCUGCUUGGUGUUGGGCGUCUGUCCCGCCCCCGCGCGUGGACUCGCCCCAAAUCCAUUGGCAGCGUUCCUUGCCCCCUCUCGCGCAGCACAUUGCGCUUCUCGAGGGCGGCUCCGGGACGCGAUCCAGCAAGAUGACCACCGUCUUUGACCUCGGAUCAGGUAGGGAUACCCGCUGAACUUAAGCAUAUCAAUAAGCGGAGGA